rnacentral:tRNA from 1 species
GCAUUGGUGGUUCAGUGGUAAAAUUUUCACCUUCCAUGUGGGAGACUCAGGUUUGACUCCCAGUCAGUGUA